rnacentral:rRNA from 1 species
CAGUCGCCGCGGGAAUACGAAGGGUGCAAGCGUUAAUCGGAAUUACUGGGCGUAAAGCGUGCGUAGGCGGUUUGUUAAGUCUGCUGUGAAAUCCCCGGGCUCAACCUGGGAAUGGCAGUGGAUACUGGCAAGCUAGAGCGUGUCAGAGGAUGGUGGAAUUCCCGGUGUAGCGGUGAAAUGCGUAGAGAUCGGGAGGAACAUCAGUGGCGAAGGCGGCCAUCUGGGACAACGCUGACGCUGAGGCACGAAAGCGUGGGGAGCAAACAGGAUUAGAUACCCCCGUAGUCCCUGUCUCUUAUAA